rnacentral:rRNA from 1 species
GAUGAACGCUGGCGGCGUGCCUAAUACAUGCAAGUCGAGCGAACGGACGAGAAGCUUGCUUCUCUGAUGUUAGCGGCGGACGGGUGAGUAACACGUGGAUAACCUACUUAUCAGACUGGGAUAACUUCGGGAAACCGGCGCUAAUACCGGAUAAUCUUUUGAACCGCAUGGUUCAAUAGUGAAAGACGGUCUUGCUGUCACUUAUAGAUGGAUCCGCGCUGCAUUAGCUAGUUGGUAAGGUAACGGCUUACCAAGGCAACGAUGCAUAGCCGACCUGAGAGGGGGAUCGGCCACACGGGAACUGGGACGCGGUCAUGGCGCCUACGGGAGGCACCAGAAGGGAAUCUUCCGCAAUGGGCGAAAGCCUGACGGAGCAACGCCGCGUGAGUGAUGAAGGUCUUCGGAUCGUAAAACUCUGUUAUUAGGGAAGAACAGAUGUGUAAGUAACUGUGCACAUCUUGACGGUACCUAAUCAGAAAGCCACGGCUAACUACGUG